AGCGAACGUUAGCGGCGGGCCUAACACAUGCAAGUCGCACGAGAAAACGGCUUCGGCCGUGAGUAAAGUGGCGGACGGGUGAGUAACACGUGGGUAAUCUGCCCUUCGGUGGGGGAUAACUGUCCGAAAGGAUAGCUAAUACCGCAUUCGUCGGCGGGGAUUUCGGUUCCUGUCGGGAAAGCCGGCCUCCUCAUGAAAGCUGGCGCCCAAGGAGGAGCCCGCGGCCCAUCAGCUAGUUGGUGAGGUAAUGGCUCACCAAGGCUUAGACGGGUAGCUGGUCUGAGAGGAUGAUCAGCCACACUGGGACUGAGACACGGCCCAGACUCCUACGGGAGGCAGCAGUGGGGAAUAUUGGGCAAUGGGCGCAAGCCUGACCCAGCCACGCCGCGUGAGUGAUGAAGGUCUUCGGGUCGUAAAGCUCUGUGGGGAGGGACGAAAGCCCGUGACCUAAUACGUCACGGUUUGACGGUACCUCCUUAGCAAGCACCGGCUAACUCCGUGCCAGCCGCCGCGGUAACAC
rnacentral:rRNA from 1 species